GUGAAUCAUCAAAUUUUUGAACGCAAAUUGCACUCUCUGGUAUUCCGGAGAGUAUGCCUGUUUGAGGGUCAGUUCAAAUCAAAAUCGGUGUGGUUGCUGGCUUUCGUGGUGACGCACUGGACUUGGGUCGUCUUGACUUCGGUUAAGUGCCCUAACAUUUUGCAUGAUUUUUUCACAUCUUCUUUA
rnacentral:misc_RNA from 1 species